rnacentral:lncRNA from 1 species
UAGACACAGAAGAGUCUGGGAAAGACCCUCCUUAAUGAAAUUCUGGACUCCAAAGAUAAAGAAAAAAAUCCUUUGGAAAAACAAGAAAAAGAAUCAGGUCAAUUAUAAUGGGGAGGAGAAUUAUUCUUUUAUUAGAUUUCUUCGUAAUAAUGAAAAGUACCACAAAAUUAUGGUGCAAUUUUUUUAGAUAAAUUUUAUGUCUGUCUAAAUUAUUCUACAAGUUCAAAAAACUAGAGAGAAACAGUUUUAAUCAGGCAAGAAUUCAGAAGUAUUGUUUUUAUGCAUUUUUGUUGAGGAAAAUGCCAGAGAUUCACUCUCAACUAAAUCAGAGAUGACCAAAGACAUCACAGCAAAAAAGUGGGUAAUAGAAGCUAAAUAUAUUGUACAGGAAAAUUAAAUCAAGUAUGGAAUUACAAUAAAAUUUCAAUGGAAAAUUUAUAUACUCUGAAAAAUAGAAGAAAUGGUCUAAACAUUAGAAAAGUAAGAAGAGGAAAGUGCUAGAGGAAACAUAUAAAUUAUUUGGCCUUAUAAUAGAUUAGAUAUGAAGUAAAAGUAUCACUUAAAGCUGAGAAAAUCAAAUAAGAUAAGUAUAUUUAAUACAAUUAAGAUAAUACUGUUUAUUAAAAUCAGGUGAUGGAGAAAACUAGAAGAGAAGAAACCUUUUAUUUUUAAGACUCCUAUAAUAGUAGAGUAAGUAAAGAGAUAAGAGAGAAAUAGUGUGUAAAAUUCAAAUCCAGAAGCACAUACUAGAGAAAGAAAUGAGGAUUGUAAAGCUCUUUUCAAAUUCUAAAACCACAAAAGAAAUGAUCAAUAAGCAUACUUAACUACCAAACAAACCUUACUUGUCAAAAACAAGCAAAAGCAUAAAGAAAAGCAAAAAUGAUGAUCAGCGAAGGAUUUGCAGCUAUCAGAGACAAACGACUCUCUUUCCUUAUGACUAAAAAUCCCCUAUCAAUUGAUUGGCGAAAGACCAACUAACUCAGUACAAAAAUGAGCAAAGGGGCUGGGGAUUUAGCUCAGCGGUGCCACCACCUGCCUCACAAGCACAAGGUCCUGAGUUCGAUCCCCGGUACCAAAUAAAUGAGCAAAGAAUGAGAAUUGAAAGUUCAGAAAAGAAAAUACAUACAGUAGCUCUUAAAUAUAUAAUAUCCUCUGUCUCUUUCACAAGAGGAUCACAAAUUAAAACAACACUGAGGUCCCACUGAUGUCAUUUCUCACAUAUUGGAGUAGUAAAAACUGAAAACUUUGAUAGUGCCUCAUCAAGAUUUCUACAACAAAAAAGAAGGAACUAGUAAUAAUGGGGGACAACUGCACACCUGAAUAUUGCUAAAAUAAUCGUUCUUAAAUGUUCUCACCACACACACAUACACAAAAAGAAUGACCACAAUGGGG